rnacentral:rRNA from 1 species
CAGUAGCCACGGUAAUACAGAGGGUGCAAGCGUUAAUCGGAUUUACUGGGCGUAAAGGGCGCGUAGGUGGUUAUUUAAGUGAGAUGUGAAAGCCCCGGGCUUAACCUGGGAACUGCAUCUUAUACUGGGUAACUGGAGUGCAGUAGAGGGUAGUGGAAUUUCCGGUGUAGCGGUGAAAUGCGUAGAUAUCGGAAGGAACACCAGUGGCGAAGGCGGCUACCUGGACUGAGACUGACACUGAGGCGCGAGAGCGUGGGGAGCAAACAGGAUUAGAUACCCCAGUAGUCCCUGUCUCUUAUAC